CGGCGGACGGGUGAGUAACACGUGGGCAACCUGCCUGUAAGACUGGGAUAACUUCGGGAAACCGGAGCUAAUACCGGAUAAUCCUUUUCUACUCAUGUGGAAAAGCUGAAAGAUGGCUUCGGCUAUCACUUACAGAUGGGCCCGCGGCGCAUUAGCUAGUUGGUGAGGUAACGGCUCACCAAGGCGACGAUGCGUAGCCGACCUGAGAGGGUGAUCGGCCACACUGGGACUGAGACACGGCCCAGACUCCUACGGGAGGCAGCAGUAGGGAAUCUUCCGCAAUGGACGAAAGUCUGACGGAGCAACGCCGCGUGAGUGAUGAAGGUUUUCGGAUCGUAAAACUCUGUUGUUAGGGAAGAACAAGUACCGUUCGAAUAGGGCGGUACCUUGACGGUACCUAACCAGAAAGCCACGGCUAACUACGUGCCAGCAGCCGCGGUAAUACGUAGGUGGCAAGCGUUGUCCGGAAUUAUUGGGCGUAAAGCGCGCGCAGGUGGUUUCUUAAGUCUGAUGUGAAAGCCCCCGGCUCAACCGGGGAGGGUCAUUGGAAACUGGGAGACUUGAGUGCAGAAGAGGAAAGUGGAAUUCCAAGUGUAGCGGUGAAAUGCGUAGAGAUUUGGAGGAACACCAGUGGCGAAGGCGACUUUCUGGUCUGUAACUGACACUGAGGCGCGAAAGCGUGGGGAGCGAACAGGAUUAGAUACCCUGGUAGUCCACGCCGUAAACGAUGAGUGCUAAGUGUUAGAGGGUUUCCGCCCUUUAGUGCUGCAGCAAACGCAUUAAGCACUCCGCCUGGGGAGUACGGCCGCAAGGCUGAAACUCAAAGGAAUUGACGGGGGCCCGCACAAGCGGUGGAGCAUGUGGUUUAAUUCGAAGCAACGCGAAGAACCUUACCAGGUCUUGACAUCCUCUGACAAUCCUAGAGAUAGGACGUUCCCCUUCGGGGGACAGAGUGACAGGUGGUGCAUGGUUGUCGUCAGCUCGUGUCGUGAGAUGUUGGGUUAAGUCCCGCAACGAGCGCAACCCUUGAUCUUAGUUGCCAGCAUUCAGUUGGGCACUCUAAGGUGACUGCCGGUGACAAACCGGAGGAAGGUGGGGAUGACGUCAAAUCAUCAUGCCCCUUAUGACCUGGGCUACACACGUGCUACAAUGGAUGGUACAAAGGGCUGCAAGACCGCGAGGUUUAGCCAAUCCCAUAAAACCAUUCUCAGUUCGGAUUGCAGGCUGCAACUCGCCUGCAUGAAGCCGGAAUCGCUAGUAAUCGCGGAUCAGCAUGCCGCGGUGAAUACGUUCCCGGGCCUUGUACACACCGCCCGUCACACCACGAGAGU
rnacentral:rRNA from 1 species